UAAAUUUUAUCUUUAAAUCACACACAUUCCGACACAUGUUCCGGGGUGCUUGAAGCAAAAGCUAUCAAGUCGGAUACAUGGGGGAUGUGGAGGCCUAAC
rnacentral:sRNA from 1 species